rnacentral:rRNA from 1 species
UACGAAGGGUGCAAGCGUUACUCGGAAUUACUGGGCGUAAAGCGUGCGUAGGUGGUUUGUUAAGUCUGUUGUGAAAGCCCCGGGCUCAACCUGGGAAUGGCAAUGGAUACUGGCAAGCUAGAGUGCGGUAGAGGGUAGUGGAAUUCCCGGUGUAGCGGUGAAAUGCGUAGAGAUCGGGAGGAACACCAGUGGCGAAGGCGGCUACCUGGACCAGCACUGACACUGAGGCACGAAAGCGUGGGGAGCGAACAGG